rnacentral:rRNA from 1 species
GAUGAACGCUGGCGGCGUGCUUAACACAUGCAAGUCGAGCGAACGGACGAGAAGUUUGCUUCUCUGAUGUUAGCGGCGGACGGGUGUGUAACACGUGGAUAACCUACCUAUAAGACUGGUAUAACUUCGGGAAACCGGCGCUAAUACCGGAUAAUCUUUUGAACCGCAUGGUUCAAAAGUGAAAGACGGUCUUGCUGUCACUUAUAGAUGGAUCCGCGCUGCAUUAGCUAGUUGGUAAGGUAACGGCUUACCAAGGCAACGAUGCAUAGCCGACCUGAGAGGGUGAUCGGCCACACGGGAACUGAGACACGGACCAGACUCCUACGGGAGGCAGCAGUAGGGAAUCUUCCGCAAUGGGCGAAAGCCUGACGGAGCAACGCCGCGUGGGUGAUGAAGGUCUUCGGAUCGUAAAACUCUGUUAUUAGGGAAGAACAGAUGUGUAAGUAACUGUGGACAUCUUGACGGUACCUAAUCAAAAAGCCACGGCUAACUACGUG